CAAUCAUGCAAGUAAUUUCUCUGCAGACAAGAAGUGUUAAGAAACAGCAGUGGUGUAAAAUGCAGUAAACUGGGAAACUGGGACAUGUGGGAACAGGCAGCCUGGGUAUCGACCUACAUCACGGUGUGGGUGGACAUCCUAUUUCCUGCCAGCACGCUUGUUUUAAUUUGUUCUUGCUGUUAGUUAUUGAGUGUGUGUGUGUGUUGUGUAGGUGAGAGGGGACAGGGAGUGCUAUGGAGAUGAUACGCCUUCUCCUCUGUGGUUCUUUCAGGAUUUGAUUUGAUCCCCGGCUGCUCCGAGGUUGGUCCAUGGGAACGCCAUUAGAAGGUCAUAUCUGCAUAAUAACACACACAGAGGCACAGCAGUCUGACGUGGAUUUAGAGGCGGAAGGUGGGCGGACUGGAAUCCUACCUGCCUACCUGCUCCAUGUAGCUUUCAACCAUAAGACAUGGAGCAUAGCAGCAGAGUUUUCCAGAGAUGGGAGUAAGUCACACAUGUAAAGCCUCCCACGCCCCGUGUGUCCACCCACGCACGGAUUUGCGUCACGCAGGGAGCAGCGUGGGCGAGAGAGAGAGCGAGCGAGAGAUAGAGAUAGAGAGAGCGGAAUAUCCCACUUUAUUCUGCUGCUGCGUCAAGCUGCGUGCGACAAGGACGUGGCAG